rfam:Fusarium oxysporum f. sp. lycopersici 4287 chromosome 12, whole genome shotgun sequence.
GUCGGUGUGGCUCAGUUGGUUAGAGCGUUGGUCUCAUAGCACGAAGCUUGAUUUGAUCCCAGGUCAGAGUAAUCCAAAGGUCGAGAGUUCGAGCCUCUCCACCGACA